CAUGAAGAUAUCUAUGGGUGAAAUACGCAAAUAUUCUUGAGCAAAUAUCGAGGCAAUUAUAAAAGAAAUAAUGAAAAAAAAUGAAUUCAAGUGAUCGCAUAAAAUGGAUAUUGUUGGUAUGUAUUCAGAUAUAAUAUAUUUCGUUAUAUCAAACCGUACAGUUAAUCUCAGCUAUUAAAUAUCCGCUAAAUGUGGAUGUCAUAUGGGCUAUAAAAUUGGUUUAUUUAAUACGUAAUUGUCUUGACAGGCAUUUUUUUAAACAGUUCCCAAGACAGGUUCAUUAUUUUGGAGAGCACAAUUGUUUGUAUAACAGAGCACCCUGCCAACAAAAAUGUAAACGCGACAGGGGCACUAUGAAUUUAUUAUAUAAACGGUACCCCUCGCCCAAUCAAGAUUAUUAAUUAACGAAGGAACACAACGCCAAAUUUCGGCUUGAGUUAAUGUAUGAAAGCGUUGAGAAGUAGUACUAGUAUAUCAUGUAUUUCACAUCAAAGCAUAAAAUUCAACAUAUUUUUUAUAUUAUUUUAAUUUUAGGUUAUUUGGACUGGAAUCAAUGCUCUCAUGUUUGGCCUCACUUUUGAAAAUUAUAAUUCAAGCAAAGAGUACUAUUAUCUCAGAGUUUUAACAAAGGUACCCUUCAUGUUUUGCUCGCUACUCUGGUUUAAAUAAAUGAUUACAAAGCCCAGUCGAAUUGUAAUCAGGACCCAACGUUUCGACACUCCAGUCUAUAAACUUCCAGUAUUUGCUCGCAGCUUUUCACUUACAAUUUGUAUUUUGUAAUUCUAGUGCAUACUAAUUAGAUUUACUAAUUGGCAAAAAUCACCAGGCACUCUUUCCAUUGAAACAAGCCCGAGUGUAUCUAAAAGUCGAGAGUAAAAGUCGAAAGUCAAGAGUAAAAAGUCGAGAGUAAAAGUCGAGAGUAAAAAGUCGAGAGUCGAGAGUAAAAGUCGAGAGUAAAAAGUCAAGAGUCGAUCGAGAGUAAAAAGUCGAGAGUCGAUCGAGAGUAAAAAGUCGAGAGUCAAUCGUGAGUAAAAAGUCGAGAGUCGAUCGAGAGUAACUGAAAAGUCGAGAGUCGGCAAAAUUGUCAUCAGAAACAACAAAGUCAAAAUAUUUUUAACACAAUAUAUAUUAACCGAUCCGUAACAACGGUUGAUUAUAGCCGUAUGGGCGAGAGGGGGAGGCAGUCCUGCCCCCCAGUCAAAAUAAAGUCAUGCAAAUUAUAGACGUAUAAAUUCGGGCAGAAAUUGGGGGAAAUAAAUUUAAAAAGAAGACAGUACAUGCAAUAUGUUAUUUGAA